ACGAGUGGCGAGCGGGUGAGUAAAGUAUCGGAACGUACCUUUCAGUGGGGGAUAACGCAGCGAAAGUUACGCUAAUACCGCAUAUUCUGUGAGCAGGAAAGCAGGGGAUCGCAAGACCUUGCGCUGAUUGAGCGGCCGAUAUCAGAUUAGCUAGUUGGUGAGGUAAAGGCUCACCAAGGCGACGAUCUGUAGCGGGUCUGAGAGGAUGAUCCGCCACACUGGAACUGAGACACGGUCCAGACUCCUACGGGAGGCAGCAGUGGGGAAUUUUGGACAAUGGGGGCAACCCUGAUCCAGCCAUGCCGCGUGAGUGAAGAAGGCCUUCGGGUUGUAAAGCUCUUUCGGCCGGGAAGAAAUCGUAUGGGUUAAUACCCUGUGCGGAUGACGGUACCGGCAUAAGAAGCACCGGCUAACUACGUGCCAGCAGCCGCGGUAAUACGUAGGGUGCGAGCGUUAAUCGGAAUUACUGGGCGUAAAGCGUGCGCAGGCGGUUUUGUAAGACAGGCGUGAAAUCCCCGGGCUCAACCUGGGAACUGCGCUUGUGACUGCAAGGCUAGAGUAUGGCAGAGGGGGGUGGAAUUCCACGUGUAGCAGUGAAAUGCGUAGAGAUGUGGAGGAACACCAAUGGCGAAGGCAGCCCCCUGGGCCAAUACUGACGCUCAUGCACGAAAGCGUGGGUAGCAAACAGGAUUAGAUACCCUGGUAGUCCACGCCCUAAACGAUGUCAACUAGGUGUUGGGUGGGUAAAACCAUUUAGUACCGGAGCUAACGCGUGAAGUUGACCGCCUGGGGAGUACGGCCGCAAGGUUAAAACUCAAAGGAAUUGACGGGGACCCGCACAAGCGGUGGAUGAUGUGGAUUAAUUCGAUGCAACGCGAAAAACCUUACCUACCCUUGACAUGUCCAGGAGCCUGAAGAGAUUUGGGUGUGCCCGAAAGGGAACUGGAACACAGGUGCUGCAUGGCUGUCGUCAGCUCGUGUCGUGAGAUGUUGGGUUAAGUCCCGCAACGAGCGCAACCCUUGUCGUUAAUUGCCAUCAUUUAGUUGGGCACUUUAACGAGACUGCCGGUGACAAACCGGAGGAAGGUGGGGAUGAUGUCAAGUCCUCAUGGCCCUUAUGGGUAGGGCUUCACACGUCAUACAAUGGUCGGUACAAAGGGUUGCCAACCCGCGAGGGGGAGCCAAUCCCAGAAAGCUGAUCGUAGUCCGGAUCGCAGGCUGCAACUCGCCUGCGUGAAGUCGGAAUCGCUAGUAAUCGUGGAUCAGCAUGUCACGGUGAAUACGUUCCCGGGUCUUGUACACACCGCCCGUCACACCAUGGGAGCGGGUUCCGCCAGAAGUAGGUAGCCUAACCGCAAGGGGGGCGCUUACCACGGCGGGGUUCGUGACUGGGGUGAAGUCGG
rnacentral:rRNA from 1 species